AUGCUCACUCACACACACGCACACUCACACACGCACACUCGCUCAUAUAUAUAUACAUACACACACACACACACACACACUCGCUCAUACACACGCACUCAUACAGACACUCGCUCAUACUCACUCACUCACACACACACUCACUCGCACUCAUACACACACAUAUACACACACACACACUCACACGUACACACACUCGCACAGACUCACUCAUACACACACACACACACUCACACAGACUCACACGUACACACUCGCUCAUACACACUCACUCAUAUACACUCACACACACGCUCACACAGACUCACUCACACUCAUACACACGUAUACACACUCACUCACUCUCUCUCACACACACACACAUGUACACACUCACACUCUCAUAUACACAGACACUCACACACUCUCUCACACACUCACACACUCACACUCUCAUAUACACACAGACUCACACACACACUCUCACACACACUCACACACAUGCUCACUCACACACACGCACACUCACACACGCACACUCGCUCAUAUAUAUAUACAUACACACACACACACACACACACUCGCUCAUACACACGCACUCAUACAGACACUCGCUCAUACUCACUCACUCACACACACACUCACUCGCACUCAUACACACACAUAUACACACACACACACUCACACGUACACACACUCGCACAGACUCACUCAUACACACACACACACACUCACACAGACUCACACGUACACACUCGCUCAUACACACUCACUCAUAUACACUCACACACACGCUCACACGCACUCACACUCACACUCACACAGACUCACUCACACUCAUACACACGUAUACACACUCACUCACUCUCUCUCACACACACACACAUGUACACACUCACACUCUCAUAUACACAGACACUCACACACUCUCUCACACACUCACACACUCACACUCUCAUAUACACACAGACUCACACACACACUCUCACACACACUCACACACAUGCUCACUCACACACACGCACACUCACACACGCACACUCGCUCAUAUAUAUAUACAUACACACACACACACACACACACUCGCUCAUACACACGCACUCAUACAGACACUCGCUCAUACUCACUCACUCACACACACACUCACUCGCACUCAUACACACACAUAUACACACACACACACUCACACGUACACACACUCGCACAGACUCACUCAUACACACACACACACACUCACACAGACUCACACGUACACACUCGCUCAUACACACUCACUCAUAUACACUCACACACACGCUCACACGCACUCACACUCACACGCACACAGACUCACUCACACUCAUACACACGUAUACACACUCACUCAUAUACACUCACACACACGCUCACACGCACUCACACUCACACGCACACAGACUCACUCACACUCAUACACACGUAUACACACUCACUCAUAUACACUCACACACACGCUCACACGCACUCACACUCACACGCACACAGACUCACUCACACUCAUACACACGUAUACACACUCACUCACUCUCUCUCACACACACACACAUGUACACACACACACACUCACAGACACUCACACACACAGACACUCACACGCACUCACACAGACUCACUCACACUCAUACACACACGUAUACACACUCACUCACUCGCUCUCUCACACACACACACACGCACUCACACACACACACGUGUACACACACACGCACUCACACACUCACACGUGUACACACACACACGCACUCUCACACUCUCAGAAGCGGGCUGGCGGCUCGUCUCGUCUCCCUCUUUUCCGCCGUCUGUGGUUCCGGGUGGGUUUCUCUGGGGUCGGGGAAGAAGAAAUUGUCCAUUUGUCCGAGCAUCACUAGCAGCCCAGUGGAAAAAACAACCUAUCAAUCAAUAAAAGGACGUGUUUCUCUUUCUCUCUGUGGUUUUAUUAAGAGUUUAAUGGAAUGUUUUAAGUGUCAUGUACAUGUUCUUUGGAUUCUUUUGAGAAUAUGGGAAGCAAUGCAGAUUCAUCGUCAUACAAACACAAGCCGAUCGUCUUUGCUACUUUGUGACGUUACACACAUUUCCACGUUUGUUUUCUUGAAUGUGACGAUGUCUGCCGCGUUUCCCCUCACGAACACAAAUGCAGACGAUUCGAAUCAUUUCAUGGAGUUUUCUUUAUGCAAAUUAUAA
rnacentral:lncRNA from 1 species